rnacentral:rRNA from 1 species
CUCGGCCUACGGGAGGCAGCAGUGAGGAAUAUUGGUCAAUGGGCGCGAGCCUGAACCAGCCAAGUCGCGUGAGGGAAGACGGUCCUAUGGAUUGUAAACCUCUUUUGUCGGGGAGCAAAAGACGCCACGCGUGGCGUUCCGAGAGUACCCGAAGAAAAAGCAUCGGCUAACUCCGUGCCAGCAGCAGCGGUAAUACGGAGGAUGCGAGCGUUAUCCGGAUUUAUUGGGUUUAAAGGGUGCGCAGGCGGAAGAUCAAGUAAGCGGUAAAAUUGAGAGGCUCAACCUCUUCGAGCCGUUGAAAUUGG